UGCUACCUGCAGUCGAACGCGAAAGCCCCGCAAGGGGUAAGUAGAGUGGCAAACGGGUGAGUAACACGUGGGUGACCUGCCUCAGAGUGGGGGAUAACGACCCGAAAGGGUCGCUAAUACCGCAUAACAUCCUGCUUUUGGACAAGUGGAGAUCAAAGCCGGGGAUCGCAAGACCUGGCGCUCAGAGAGGGGCCCGCGGCCGAUUAGCUAGUUGGUAGGGUAAUGGCCUACCAAGGCAACGAUCGGUAUCCGGCCUGAGAGGGCGGAUGGACACACUGGGACUGAGACACGGCCCAGACUCCUACGGGAGGCAGCAGUGGGGAAUUGUUCGCAAUGGGCGCAAGCCUGACGACGCAACGCCGCGUGGAGGACGAAGAUCUUCGGGUCGUAAACUCCUUUCGAUCGGGAAGAACGCCUUCCGGGUGAACAAUCCGGAAGGGUGACGGUACCGAGAGAAGAAGCCCCGGCUAACUCCGUGCCAGCAGCCGCGGUAAUACGGGGGGGGCAAGCGUUGUUCGGAAUUACUGGGCGUAAAGGGCUCGUAGGCGGCCAACUAAGUCCGACGUGAAAUCCCCAGGCUUAACCUGGGAACUGCGUCGGAUACUGGAUGGCUUGAAUUCGGGAGAGGGAUGCAGAAUUCCAGGUGUAGCGGUGAAAUGCGUAGAUAUCUGGAGGAAUACCGGUGGCGAAGGCGGCAUCCUGGACCGACAUUGACGCUGAGGAGCGAAAGCUAGGGGAGCAAACGGGAUUAGAUACCCCGGUAGUCCUAGCCCUAAACGAUGAAUGCUUGGUGUGGCGGGUAUCGAUCCCUGCCGUGCCGAAGCUAACGCAUUAAGCAUUCCGCCUGGGGA
rnacentral:rRNA from 1 species